rnacentral:hammerhead_ribozyme from 1 species
GUUCAGCUGACGAGUCCCAAAUAGGAGGAAAUGCGAGUCCUGGAU